AGGAAGUGAGAUACUCAACAGUUCUAAGAUGUUAAACUGUUGACACUAUGCACUUCCAAUAAUAAUCUUGCCUUCUGAUGACUACAAAAUACUGAGCAAGUUUUGUAGACAGAUACGGGGCACACAUUC